GAUGAAGAACGUAGCGAAAUGCGAUAAGUAAUGUGAAUUGCAGAAUUCAGUGAAUCAUCGAAUCUUUGAACGCACAUUGCGCCCGCCAGUAUUCUGGCGGGCAUGCCUGUUCGAGCGUCAUUACAACCCUCAGGCCCCCGGGCCUGGCGUUGGGGAUCGGCGGAGCCCCCCGUGGGCACACGCCGUCCCCCAAAUACAGUGGCGGUCCCGCCGCAGCUUCCAUCGCGUAGUAGCUAACACCUCGCGACUGGAGAGCGGCGCGGCCACGCCGUAAAACACCCAACUCUUCUGAAGUUGACCUCGAAUCAGGUAGGAAUACCCGCUGAACUUAAGCAUAUCAAUCAGCGGAGGA
rnacentral:misc_RNA from 1 species